rnacentral:rRNA from 1 species
CAGUAGCCACGGUAAUACGAAGGGGGCUAGCGUUGUUCGGAAUUACUGGGCGUAAAGGGCUCGCAGGCGGUUUCUUAAGUCUGAUGUGAAAGCCCUCGGCUCAACCGGGGAGGGUCAUUGGAAACUGGGAAACUUGAGUGCAGAAGAGGAGAGUGGAAUUCCACGUGUAGCGGUGAAAUGCGUAGAGAUGUGGAGGAACACCAGUGGCGAAGGCGACUCUCUGGUCUGUAACUGACGCUGAGGAGCGAAAGCGUGGGGAGCGAACAGGAUUAGAUACCCCCGUAGUCCCUGUCUCUUAUAC